rnacentral:tRNA from 1 species
GCCUGGGUGGCUCAGUCGGUUGAGCGUCCGACUUCAGCUCAGGUCAUGAUCUCACGGUCCGUGAGUUCGAGCCCCUCAUCGGGCU